rnacentral:rRNA from 1 species
UAAAGGUCGAAAGGGGAGAUUCAGUAUCCGUUCCUCAUCGCCGCUCCGCGCCGCGAGUACAACUCGGGGUGGCCCCUCACGGGGUUUGCCCUGGGCUCGCGGCGCGGUCUCGCGCGCGGGAGGCGGAGCGCACUUCUCCCCGAGUAGGACGCCGCGACCCGCUGGGCGUGGGUCUGAGGUCCGGUGGCGAGCCCGUGUCGCGUUUCGACGCGGCGCGGAGCCCCGGUGUCCCGACCCACUGCCCGGCGGUCGAACGUAAGGAGCUGGCCCGCGCUCUCGUGGCGCGCCCGUGCCUCCGGCGAGCGUCCGGCCGCGUACCCGUCGUGCGGACUUGUCCGCCGCGGGCCGGUCGGCGUUGUCGGCCGGGGGAUUUCUCGGGCCGCGGCCUCUCGUCUCCCGUCUGCGGCGCUCAAAGCUGGGCGGCCCACCCGACCCGUCUUGAAACACGGACCAAGGAGUCUAACAUGUGCGCGAGUCAUUGGGUCCCACUAAACCCAAGGGCGUAUUGAACGAGAA